GAGAGUCCGAGCCCUAGGGUUUUAUCAAUUUCCAAUUAUCCUCGCCUAGAGAAAAUUAUGGUGGAGGGAUACUGGAAUCGGCAGCAGGCGUCUCUACUCCCUUCUGGUCCCAUGCUUAAACGACCCCGUUCUGAUUACGAUCUUCCCCAGUCUGGGAGUCUUCACGUCAUGAGAGGCAUGGUUAUUUAUCACGAGAUGAUGAUCGUGGUGAGAAUCGGUCUGUAAAGGAUACAAGAAUUAUUGGAUCAGC